rnacentral:rRNA from 1 species
GCUCAGAUUGAACGCUGGCGGCAGGCCUAACACAUGCAAGUCGAACGGUAACAGGAAGCAGCUUGCUGCUUCGCUGACGAGUGGCGGACGGGUGAGUAAUGUCUGGGAAACUGCCUGAUGGAGGGGGAUAACUACUGGAAACGGUAGCUAAUACCGCAUAACGUCGCAAGACCAAAGAGGGGGACCUUCGGGCCUCUUGCCAUCGGAUGUGCCCAGAUGGGAUUAGCUUGUUGGUGGGGUAACGGCUCACCAAGGCGACGAUCCCUAGCUGGUCUGAGAGGAUGACCAGCCACACUGGAACUGAGACACGGUCCAGACUCCUACGGGAGGCAGCAGUGGGGAAUAUUGCACAAUGGGCGCAAGCCUGAUGCAGCCAUGCCGCGUGUAUGAAGAAGGCCUUCGGGUUGUAAAGUACUUUCAGCGGGGAGGAAGGGAGUAAAGUUAAUACCUUUGCUCAUUGACGUUACCCGCAGAAGAAGCACCGGCUAACUCCGUGCCAGCAGCCGCGGUAAUACGGAGGGUGCAAGCGUUAAUCGGAAUUACUGGGCGUAAAGCGCACGCAGGCGGUUUGUUAAGUCAGAUGUGAAAUCCCCGGGCUCAACCUGGGAACUGCAUCUGAUACUGGCAAGCUUGAGUCUCGUAGAGGGGGGUAGAAUUCCAGGUGUAGCGGUGAAAUGCGUAGAGAUCUGGAGGAAUACCGGUGGCGAAGGCGGCCCCCUGGACGAAGACUGACGCUCAGGUGCGAAAGCGUGGG